rfam:Triticum aestivum genome assembly, contig: Triticum_aestivum_CS42_TGACv1_scaffold_112371_2AS
GUCAGGAAGAGGAAGAAAAUGAGCAUCUAGGAGCAUUGGGAAUGGAAACAUGGAGGAUGGCCUAAACUAGUGUGUCCCACUACAACUAGGGUCCAACAUUAGUUUCGGAAUUUUCCAUAUGCUUCCCAUGCCUAUUGUUCUUAGGUGCUCCUUCCUCUCCCAUAUGAUC